rnacentral:rRNA from 1 species
GACGAACGCUGGCGGCGUGCCUAAUACAUGCAAGUAGAACGCUGAAGGAGGAGCUUGCUUCUCGGAUGAGUUGCGAACGGGUGAGUAACGCGUAGGUAACCUGCCUGGUAGCGGGGGAUAACUAUUGGAAACGAUAGCUAAUACCGCAUAAGAGUAGAUGUCGCAUGACAUUUACUUAAAAGGUGCAAUUGCAUCACUACCAGAUGGACCUGCGUUGUAUUAGCUAGUUGGUGAGGUAACGGCUCACCAAGGCAACGAUACAUAGCCGACCUGAGAGGGUGAUCGGCCACACUGGGACUGAGACACGGCCCAGACUCCUACGGGAGGCAGCAGUAGGGAAUCUUCGGCAAUGGACGGAAGUCUGACCGAGCAACGCCGCGUGAGUGAAGAAGGUUUUCGGAUCGUAAAGCUCUGUUGUAAGAGAAGAACGAGUGUGAGAGUGGAAAGUUCACACUGUGACGUAUCUACCAGAAAGGACGCA